rnacentral:tRNA from 1 species
CAUUAGAUGACUGAAGGCAAGUAAUGGUCUCUUAAACCAAAAAAUAGUAAACUAGCAAUUACUUCUAAUGA